rnacentral:lncRNA from 10 species
AAGUAGGGGUUUUGAGGGAACUGCCAGGUUAAACAAUGAAAAUACUGAGAAUGGAGCUUUUGGGAGGCUCCAAACCCAUUCUGCUUCAUCCACGUAUCCCAAUGAAUGGCUGCUAAGCUUUGUUACAGGGUAGAUCACCCAAACCUGACAAGUGGGAACUUCUUCAGCUGGGCAGUGGUGGAGGCAUGGUUGAACAAGUCAGUGGGGACUGUGAUGAUGAAGAUGGUUGCGGGGGAUCAGGAAGUGGAGAAGUCAAGAGGACACUGAAGAUCACAGACUG